GGGUUGUGAGGUUAAGCGACUAAGCGUACACGGUGGAUGCCCUGGCAGUCAGAGGCGAUGAAGGACGUGCUAAUCUGCGAAAAGCGUCGGUAAGGUGAUAUGAACCGUUACAGCCGGCGAUGUCCGAAUGGGGAAACCCAGUGCAAUUCGUUGCACUAUCGUUAACUGAAUACAUAGGUUAACGAGGCGAACCGGGGGAACUGAAACAUCUAAGUACCCCGAGGAAAAGAAAUCAACCGAGAUUCCCCCAGUAGCGGCGAGCGAACGGGGAGCAGCCCAGAGUCUGAAUCAGCUUGUGUGUUAGUGGAACGGUCUGGAAAGUCCGACGGUACAGGGUGAUAGUCCCGUACACCAAAAUGCACAGGCUGUGAACUCGAAGAGUAGGGCGGGACACGUGGUAUCCUGUCUGAAUAUGGGGGGACCAUCCUCCAAGGCUAAAUACUCCUGACUGACCGAUAGUGAACCAGUACCGUGAGGGAAAGGCGAAAAGAACCCCGGCGAGGGGAGUGAAAAAGAACCUGAAACCGUGUACGUACAAGCAGUGGGAGCACCUUCGGGUGUGACUGCGUACCUUUUGUAUAAUGGGUCAGCGACUUAUAUUCUGUAGCAAGGUUAACCGUAUAGGGGAGCCGCAGGGAAACCGAGUCUUAACUGGGCGUUAAGUUGCAGGGUAUAGACCCGAAACCCGGUGAUCUAGCCAUGGGCAGGUUGAAGGUUGGGUAACACUAACUGGAGGACCGAACCGACUAAUGUUGAAAAAUUAGCGGAUGACUUGUGGCUGGGGGUGAAAGGCCAAUCAAACCGGGAGAUAGCUGGUUCUCCCCGAAAGCUAUUUAGGUAGCGCCUCGUGAACUCAUCUUCGGGGGUAGAGCACUGUUUCGGCUAGGGGGUCAUCCCGACUUACCAACCCGAUGCAAACUACGAAUACCGAAGAAUGUUAUCACGGGAGACACACGGCGGGUGCUAACGUCCGUCGUGAAGAGGGAAACAACCCAGACCGCCAGCUAAGGUCCCAAAGUCAUGGUUAAGUGGGAAACGAUGUGGGAAGGCACAGACAGCCAGGAUGUUGGCUUAGAAGCAGCCAUCAUUUAAAGAAAGCGUAAUAGCUCACUGGUCGAGUCGGCCUGCGCGGAAGAUGUAACGGGGCUAAACCAUGCACCGAAGCUGCGGCAGCGACACUAUGUGUUGUUGGGUAGGGGAGCGUUCUGUAAGCCUGCGAAGGUGUGCUGUGAGGCAUGCUGGAGGUAUCAGAAGUGCGAAUGCUGACAUAAGUAACGAUAAAGCGGGUGAAAAGCCCGCUCGCCGGAAGACCAAGGGUUCCUGUCCAACGUUAAUCGGGGCAGGGUGAGUCGACCCCUAAGGCGAGGCCGAAAGGCGUAGUCGAUGGGAAACAGGUUAAUAUUCCUGUACUUGGUGUUACUGCGAAGGGGGGACGGAGAAGGCUAUGUUAGCCGGGCGACGGUUGUCCCGGUUUAAGCAUGUAGGCUGGUUAUCCAGGCAAAUCCGGAUAAUCAAGGCUGAGGUGUGAUGACGAGGCACUACGGUGCUGAAGUAACAAAUGCCCUGCUUCCAGGAAAAGCCUCUAAGCAUCAGGUAACAUCAAAUCGUACCCCAAACCGACACAGGUGGUCAGGUAGAGAAUACCAAGGCGCUUGAGAGAACUCGGGUGAAGGAACUAGGCAAAAUGGUGCCGUAACUUCGGGAGAAGGCACGCUGGUGUGUAGGUGAAGCCCCUGCGGGUGGAGCUGAGACCAGUCGAAGAUACCAGCUGGCUGCAACUGUUUAUUAAAAACACAGCACUGUGCAAACACGAAAGUGGACGUAUACGGUGUGACGCCUGCCCGGUGCCGGAAGGUUAAUUGAUGGGGUUAUCCGUAAGGAGAAGCUCUUGAUCGAAGCCCCGGUAAACGGCGGCCGUAACUAUAACGGUCCUAAGGUAGCGAAAUUCCUUGUCGGGUAAGUUCCGACCUGCACGAAUGGCGUAAUGAUGGCCAGGCUGUCUCCACCCGAGACUCAGUGAAAUUGAACUCGCUGUGAAGAUGCAGUGUACCCGCGGCAAGACGGAAAGACCCCGUGAACCUUUACUAUAGCUUGACACUGAACAUUGAGCCUUGAUGUGUAGGAUAGGUGGGAGGCUUUGAAGCGUGGACGCCAGUCUGCGUGGAGCCAACCUUGAAAUACCACCCUUUAAUGUUUGAUGUUCUAACGUUGGCCCCUGACCGGGGUUGCGGACAGUGUCUGGUGGGUAGUUUGACUGGGGCGGUCUCCUCCCAAAGCGUAACGGAGGAGCACGAAGGUUAGCUAAUCCUGGUCGGACAUCAGGAGGUUAGUGCAAUGGCAUAAGCUAGCUUGACUGCGAGCGUGACGGCGCGAGCAGGUGCGAAAGCAGGUCAUAGUGAUCCGGUGGUUCUGAAUGGAAGGGCCAUCGCUCAACGGAUAAAAGGUACUCCGGGGAUAACAGGCUGAUACCGCCCAAGAGUUCAUAUCGACGGCGGUGUUUGGCACCUCGAUGUCGGCUCAUCACAUCCUGGGGCUGAAGUAGGUCCCAAGGGUAUGGCUGUUCGCCAUUUAAAGUGGUACGCGAGCUGGGUUUAGAACGUCGUGAGACAGUUCGGUCCCUAUCUGCCGUGGGCGCUGGAGAAUUGAGGGGGGCUGCUCCUAGUACGAGAGGACCGGAGUGGACGCAUCACUGGUGUUCGGGUUGUCAUGCCAAUGGCACUGCCCGGUAGCUAAAUGCGGAAGAGAUAAGUGCUGAAAGCAUCUAAGCACGAAACUUGCCCCGAGAUGAGUUCUCCCUGAGACUUUAAGUCUCCUGAAGGAACGUU
rnacentral:rRNA from 1 species